rnacentral:rRNA from 1 species
GGUUUUUUGAAUUAUAAUUUAAGAUUAGUUCUGCUCAAUGAUUUGAAAUUAAAUAGCCGCAGUAUUUUGACUGUGCUAAGGUAGCAUAAUCAAUUGUUUUUUAAUUAAGAACUGGAAUGAAGGAAUUGAUGAGAUUAAGACUGUCUAAUAUAAAAUGUUAAAAUUUAAAUUUUAAGUAAUAAUUCUUAAAUAAGGUUAUGGGACGAGAAGACCCUAUAGAAUUUGAUAUAAUUUUUUAAAAUAAGUAUAAAUAAGGAUUUAAUAAAAUUAAUAUUUUAUUGGGAGGAUAAUUAAAUUAAAUUAACUUUAAAAUAAUAAUUAAACAUUAAUUUAUGAUAAUAGUUGAAUAAUUUUAUUAUAAUAAUUAAAAUUAAUUAAAAAUUAAUUACCUUAGGGAUAACAGCGUAAUAUUUUUAAAAAGAUCAUAUUGAUAAAAGUGUUUGCGACCUCGAAAGUUGAAUUAAAAUAAAAAUUAAAUGAAGAAGUUUAAUAUUUUA